UACGAAGGGGGCUAGCGUUGCUCGGAAUCACUGGGCGUAAAGCGCACGUAGGCGGCUUUUUAAGUCAGGGGUGAAAUCCUGGAGCUCAACUCCAGAACUGCCUUUGAUACUGAGAGGCUUGAGUCCGGGAGAGGUGAGUGGAACUGCGAGUGUAGAGGUGAAAUUCGUAGAUAUUCGCAAGAACACCAGCGGCGAAGGCGGCCCUCUGGGCCUAUCCUGACGCUGAGACGCGAAGGCCAGGGUAGCGAACGGG
rnacentral:rRNA from 1 species